rfam:Exiguobacterium sibiricum 255-15, complete genome.
CUAAAAAACAAAAAAUAAUGCCGUAUAAUUCUGGGGAUAUGGCCCGGAAGUCUCUACAGGAACACCUUAAAGGUUCCUACUACGGCGUGCACUGAUUUCCGG